rnacentral:lncRNA from 1 species
AAAGGAAAUCUCAAGAUCUUUCACUUCCGGUCUGAAACUGCUUAGAAGUAAAUUUUAUAAACAGUACUGGACUAAAGUAAUUGGUCGAUGCUUUAAAACAGACUCGCUUUUAACAUGAAUGCAGUAGCCUUAUAGUAAAUAUUGCCAUAGUUGUCGAAGAUGUUAGGAAUGGAUCUGUCAACUGGUGUGGAUGGUGUGGUCGAAAAACUCCCCAUAGACUUGUUUGCAGAAACGCUUCAGUCAAUCCUGGUUCAUCUUCAGGAUCAGAACAGAGCAGUAGAUUUGAUUGAAACCUGUGAUGCAAGUUCACAAAAUUAAAUCCCUGUAAAUAUGCUGUAAAUUAAGCAUGCAUGUACCUGCUUUUUAUGUCUUUGCAAUGUUUUUAUUUCCCUAACACAGAAAUUUCAAAGAGCUGGGAUAAACCUUGAUCAGAAAACUGUUCAAGCUAUUAUAAGACUCAUGUCAUACUAUUUUAGGUACAGUGUUAUUUUUUGAGGACAAAACGUCAUUAAAGUAAAUGUAUGUGAAUUAAAAAUAGGGUGACCAUAUUUUAGUUUUCCAAAAAGAGGACAGUGGGUGCGGUGGGGCGAAGCGGGGGGCUGCAACAUGUGUGGUUGUUUGGUGGUUAAAGUAAUGCUGAAAGCGCCGUAUGUAGCACAAUCCCAAAUAUCUAAACUCAGAAUAUGUCAUUUUCAUACCUAAAAUAGAUUUUACAGUCACUGUUAUGCAUAUUGAUCAUAAACACAGCUAAAAAGCUUCCCACCAGUGGCCCUCCUUCACAAAACUUAUCAUAUAGUACAGUUUUAUCAUGGGUAGAAUCGGCCGUAGCUGGGGUUUGCGGGGCCUCGGUGCAGGUUGUACUCAUGGGCCCUGUUUGAAAUCAUGUAAACAGCACAAAUAAAUAAAUACACUGAACAAAAUUAUAAACGCA